rnacentral:lncRNA from 1 species
GAGAUUGAUGGGUUAUUCUGGAUGACACUCAGGAAGCAGUUUUAACUGUGAUGGUGCUAUACCAUACUGGAGGAUCCCUCUACAGAGACUGGAGAAUGAAAAGCUAGAAAACAACAGAGAACUGCCCUGGUUUGCAUUCCUGGUACCCGAGAAGGCAUCAAUCAGUAAGGUGGCAUCGCAAGACACAGAUGGCAUUUGAUCAGAAGGGUGAGCUCCCAGCAAAACGUUGCCUUGACAACCGGACCUCCAGGGAAAGGUUUCUGCUUCUGGCAGACAUCUGAGUAUCAGUUGCUGACUACAGGCUGUUCUAAGUAGACUGCGAGCCCUGGACUUGCUGUGGAUGUGAACCAGUUCAGCUGAUAUGGACACCCCCUGUCUCUGCAACAGUGUCUGCUAACCAGAAGCCCCUGAUGAAUUCCCCAUUGCCUAAAUUCCUUUUUGCUUUUGACUAGCAUUUCAACCUUCUGGGGUCCCUAACUUCGUCCCAAAGUCAGCAGGAAGCAGUUUGGAAAAGAAUUUCGGCGCCCAUUUUCCCUGGUUAAAAUGCUAAGUCAAAAGGAACUCCCUUGCAUGGGGAUGCCAAUAUCUAUCACUUCCUGAUGGGGAUGCUAGAGAGACAGCAAUUCCAUGAUUGGAAUUUCCAGAAAAGAAAAUGGGGGAAUGAAGGAACCGGCUUCCCUUUUGGCAGCCAUAAUGGUCGAACAUGUGCUUCUAUGACCUUGUCCUAGAAACCAGAAAGUCAGAUGCCUACCUCGUGACAAGGAAACAAUCAGAAGUUAGUCACUAGAAAGUCAGAUGCCUGUCUCGUGACAAGGAGCCAAUCGAAAGUUAGCUGGUGGCGCUAUGCUUUACGACCCUGGGUGUGCUUUACAGACAAGCGCACAGCAAUGACAUAGAGAGCAUAGCAACCACCCUGGGAGGGCCUAUGAGCCAUAACAACCAGUUGACCAAUCAACACAGGGCAAGCCCUCCAAGCCUGGAAGCACACCAAUCGUGAGCCUGUGCGUAAGCCUGUGCGUACCCCUAGACACUCCCCUUAAGCUGCCCUAUAAGAUCUUUUGGGAGACCCAAGGAGCCGUCUUUUCUAGCCUUCCGCCAUGGUGGGUGGGUGAAAGACCCGAGCUAACAUGGGGUUAGCUCGUUAAACUACAAUAAAGCC